GAUGAACGCUGGCGGCGUGCCUAAUACAUGCAAGUCGAGCGAACGGACGAGAAGCUUGCUUCUCUGAUGUUAGCGGCGGACGGGUGAGUAACACGUGGAUAACCUACCUAUAAGACUGGGAUAACUUCGGGAAACCGGAGCUAAUACCGGAUAAUAUUUUGAACCGCAUGGUUCAAAAGUGAAAGACGGUCUUGCUGUCACUUAUAGAUGGAUCCGCGCUGCAUUAGCUAGUUGGUAAGGUAACGGCUUACCAAGGCAACGAUGCAUAGCCGACCUGAGAGGGUGAUCGGCCACACUGGAACUGAGACACGGUCCAGACUCCUACGGGAGGCAGCAGUAGGGAAUCUUCCGCAAAGGGCGAAAGCCUGACGGAGCAACGCCGCGUGAGUGAUGAAGGCCUUCGGAUCGUAAAACUCUGUUAUUAGGGAAGAACAUAUGUGUAAGUAACUGUGCACAUCUUGACGGUACCUAAUCAGAAAGCCACGGCUAACUACGUG
rnacentral:rRNA from 1 species